GAUGAACGCUGGCGGCGUGCCUAAUACAUGCAAGUCGAGCGAACAGACGAGGAGCUUGCUCCUCUGACGUUAGCGGCGGACGGGUGAGUAACACGUGGAUAACCUACCUAUAAGACUGGGAUAACUUCGGGAAACCGGAGCUAAUACCGGAUAAUAUAUUGAACCGCAUGGUUCAAUAGUGAAAGACGGUUUUGCUGUCACUUAUAGAUGGAUCCGCGCCGCAUUAGCUAGUUGGUAAGGUAACGGCUUACCAAGGCAACGAUGCGUAGCCGACCUGAGAGGGGGAUCGGCCACACUGGAACUGAGACACGGUCCAGACUCCUACGAGAGGCAGCAGUAGGGAAUCUUCCGCAAUGGGCGAAAGCUUGACGGAGCAACGCCGCGUGAGUGAUGAAGGUCUUCGGAUCGUAAAACUCUGUUAUUAGGGAAGAACAAAUGUGUAAGUAACUAUGCACGUCUUGACGGUACCUAAUCAGAAAGCCACGGCUAACUACGUG
rnacentral:rRNA from 1 species